rnacentral:piRNA from 1 species
CAGAACAUACAGGAUGCUAUCAAGUCUUGC